UACAGAGGUGUCAAACGUUGUCCGGAAUUACUGGGCGUAAAGGGCGCGUAGGCGGCCUUAUAAGUCAUGUGUGAAAGCUCUGGGCUCAACCCAGGAAUUGCAUGUGAUACUGUAAGGCUUGAGUUCGGUAGAGGAGGGCGGAAUUCCAGGUGUAGCGGUGAAAUGCGUAGAUAUCUGGAGGAACACCGGUGGCGAAGGCGGCGUUCUGGACUGUCUCUGACACUGAAGAACGAAAGCCAGGGGAGCAAACGGG
rnacentral:rRNA from 1 species